AGCGAAGGAGCGAUCUGGAGCCAAUCCUAGAAAAGCCGGUCUCAGUUCGGAUUGUAGGCUGCAACUCGCCUACAUGAAGUCGGAAUUGCUAGUAAUCGCGGAUCAGCAUGCCGCGGGGAAUACGUUCCCGGGUCUUGUACACACCGCCCGUCACACCACGAGAGUUUACAACACCCGAAGUCGGUGAGGUAACCGCAAGGAGCCAGCCGCCGAAGGUGGGGUAGAUGAUUGGGGUGAAGUCGUAACAAGGUAGCCGUAUCGGAAGGUGCGGCUGGAUCACCUCCUUUCUAUGGAGA
rnacentral:rRNA from 1 species